rnacentral:rRNA from 1 species
UACAGAGGUCCCAAGCGUUGUUCGGAUUCACUGGGCGUAAAGGGUGCGUAGGUGGCGAGGUAAGUCGGAUGUGAAAGCUCGGAGCUCAACUCCGAAAUGGCAUUGGAUACUACCUUGCUCGAGGGUUGGAGGGGGGACUGGAAUUCUCGGUGUAGCAGUGAAAUGCGUAGAUAUCGAGAGGAACACCAGUGGCGAAGGCGAGUCCCUGGACAACUCCUGACACUGAGGCACGAAAGCUAGGGGAGCAAACGGG